CUGUGUCAGGAUGCUGUUGGGUAGCUGGCUCUGUGGACAAGUGGCUGUGAGUGGAACUCCCUCUCUGAGAGUAGCUGGAAAAAGCCCAGGCUCCAGCUCCCUGAGGAGACAGCGGGAAGUCUCCUGACUUUGUGGGCCCCAGCUUUCUGUAGAAGAGGGUAUGAAUUCUGUCUCCACCUGUGAGCAGCGAGGGAGGGUAUGUGCCAGCACCGUGGACAGUACAGAGCUGCAUCGUGGAAGGAGUGUGCCUCCAGUUGCCAGGCUCCACACUGCGGGCUCAGCUUCCGUGGCAGCCUCUCCAUCUUCAUUGCCAGCUCCUCUGAUUUUUCCUUUGAAAUACUUAUUAUUAUUAUUAUUUGAAUUGGAGUCUCACUCUGUCGCCCAGGCAGAGGCUGCAGUGAGCCGAGACCGUGCCACUGCACUCCAGCCUGGCUGACAGAGCGAGACUGUCUCAAAAGAAAAAAUA
rnacentral:sRNA from 1 species